CCCUUAGAUGUCCUGGGCCGCACGCGCGCUACACUGAGUGUCUGAGAUACGAGUCUGCCUGGUCCGGCAAGGUCUAGGUAAUCGCUAAAAGACACAUCAUGCUUGGGAUAGAUUAUUGCAAAUAUUAAUCUUGAACGAGGAAUUCCUAGUAAGCGCAAGUCAACAGCUUGCGUUGAUUACGUCCCUGCCCUUUGUACACACCGCCCGUCGCUACUACUGAUUGGAUGUUUAAGCGAGGUUCUCGAUCUGCUAGCGACUUAGCUUCGGUGAGGUCGCAGUGUGGGAAGUGAACCUAGCUUUGGUGUCUAGAGGAAGUAAAAGUCGUAACA
rnacentral:rRNA from 1 species